rnacentral:rRNA from 1 species
UACGGGGGGUGCAAGCGUUGUUCGGAAUUACUGGGCGUAAAGGGCUCGUAGGCGGUCAACUAAGUCAGACGUGAAAUCCCUCGGCUCAACCGGGGAACUGCGUCCGAUACUGGUGGGCUCGAAUCCGGGAGAGGGAUGUGGAAUUCCAGGUGUAGCGGUGAAAUGCGUAGAUAUCUGGAGGAACACCGGUGGCGAAGGCGGCAUCCUGGACCGGCAUUGACGCUGAGGCGCGAAAGCCAGGGGAGCAAACGGG